ACGCUCGACACCUACGAGAGGCAGCAGUGGGGAAUAUUGCACAAUGGGGGAAACCCUGAUGCAGCGACGCCGCGUGGAGGAAGAAGGUCUUCGGAUUGUAAACUCCUGUUGUUGGGGAAAAAGAGGAUGGUACCCAACAAGGAAGUGACGGCUAACUACGUGCCAGCAGCCACGGUAAUCUGAGCGGGCUGGCAAGGC
rnacentral:rRNA from 1 species